UACGAAGGGGGCUAGCGUUGUUCGGAAUUACUGGGCGUAAAGCGCGCGCAGGCGGCUAUCCAAGUCAGUGGUGAAAGCCCGGAGCUCAACUCCGGAAUUGCCAUUGAAACUGUUUGGCUCGAGUACGAGAGAGGUGAGUGGAAUUCCCAGUGUAGAGGUGAAAUUCGUAGAUAUUGGGAAGAACACCGGUGGCGAAGGCGGCUCACUGGCUCGUAACUGACGCUCAUGCACGACAGCGUGGGGAUCAAACAGG
rnacentral:rRNA from 1 species